GUGCUCUGCCUUCAAGCCAGUGCGCAAUACUCUUUCUGCUACCACAUGUCUUUUUUAAUGUGUUGCCAAACACUACAUACUCCCGCCGCAGCCAGGAACACCACAAAUCUUGAUGGGAAAAGAAGCAGAAGAGAAGGCAGAACCAAGACCAAGCUGCUGCCUGGCGUGGGAGGAAUUGACUCACUUGGUAAUGGAGGCCGAGAAGUCCCACGGUCGGCUGUCUGCAAGCUGGAGGCCCAGGAAAGCCGGUGGUGUCCUUCAGUCCACACUCCAAGGCCUGAGAACCCGGGGAGCCGAUGGCGUGAAUCCCCGUUGGGGGGCAGAAGAUGCGAUGUGCACUGAGAGGUUCCAUCUCAGCAGUGAGGCAGAAAAGGAGAGAUGGAGAUUCAUGCCAGCCCCACGUGUGAACACAUCGGACUUCCCCCAGAGUCUUUGUCAGCACAUGGUCACUCUGUGCACUGAUUAG
rnacentral:lncRNA from 1 species